rnacentral:tRNA from 1 species
GGAGGUGUAGCUCAGUGGUAGAGUGCGUGCCUAGCAUGCAAGAGGUCCUGGGUUCAAUCUCUGGUACUUUUA